UACGUAGGAUCCUAGCGUUAUCCGGAUUUACUGGGUGUAAAGGGUGCGCAGGCGGACUUGUAAGUCAGGGGUGAAACUCUCAUCGCUUAACGGUGAAACUGCCUUUGAUACUAUAAGUCUUGAGUUUGGUAGAGAUCCGUGGAAUUCCGGAGUGUAGCAGUGAAAUGUGUAGAUAUUCGGAAGAACACCAGUGGCGAAGGCAGCGGAUUGGGCCAAUACUGACGCUCAGGCACGAAAGCAUGGGGAUCAAACAGG
rnacentral:rRNA from 1 species